GACGAACGCUGGCGGCGUGCCUAACACAUGCAAGUCGAACGGAGAAUUAGCAAUAAUUCUUAGUGGCGAACGGGUGAGUAACGCGUAGACAACCUACCCUUUAGAUGGGGACAACACCGCGAAAGUGGUGCUAAUACCGAAUAUUGCUUGAGAAGCGCAUGCUUCUCAAACUAAAGAUGGCCUCUAUUUAUAAGCUAUCGCUAAAGAAUGGGUCGGGGUCUGAAUAGCUAGUUGGUGAGAUAAAAGCUCACCAAGGCAACGAUCAGUAGCCGGUCUGAGAGGAUGAACGGCCACACUGGGACUGAGACACGGCCCAGACUCCUACGGGAGGCAGCAGUGGGGAAUCUUCCGCAAUGGACGAAAGUCUGACGGAGCAACGCCGCGUGAGUGAUGAAGGUUUUCGGAUCGUAAAACCCUGUUGUUAAGGACGAAUGUAUAGAUUGUGAAUAAUGGUUUAUAAUGACGGUACUUAACGAGGAAGCCACGGCUAACUACGUGCCAGCAGCCGCAGUAA
rnacentral:rRNA from 1 species